AUACCGCUCUCUUUUUCUUUUCUCCCCCCCCCCUCCAAGAACACCGUUCUUAUUUGGGGGGCCGGGGGUUAUCUGAAUGCAGCCACCGAGAUAAAGAGGAAAAGGGGUGGGGGAGAAAGGGGCAACUGUGUGGGAAUGAGACCAGAUCUGCUCUUGACGACUGCUCCUUGGAAACUUUUCUCUCCCCCCCCCCCCUUUGGAUUGCAGACUUCAAACAAGCCCUCUUUCAGAGAUGCAAGCGCGUCUGCCGUGGAGGAAAUUAAACAUCAUAAAGAAAAGCCCAAUUAGGGUUUAAUGUCUCAACGUUGCUGUUUCCUCCAGAAAACAAUGAAGUUCUCUCGGCUGAUAAACGUGGGUGCUGCUGGAGCUGUAUCCACUAUUACUGGCCUACAUUGGGGAAGGGGGAAGAAAGCUGUUGAAGAUUUUUUUUCUCCCCCCUGUAAAAACGCCGAGAUUUUACUUUGAUCAUGGUGUGCCUGAUGGGAGUAAAGCUCCCUGCUGACUGAAAUAGAA